rnacentral:lncRNA from 1 species
GGGCAGAGCAGCAGAGUGAAACCUGUGAGGGCCGCUCCACCCUAGCACUUUCACUUUGCUCACUGAUUAUUGUCCAGAGUUCUUUGUGAUUGUAAUUGGUUAGAAAGUUUGAAAUUAGCAAGUCCUUGUCAGCCCAGGAAAGCUUUGAAAUCACAAGGUUUGAUACAGCCAUCAAGCCUGUGGAAACCUAAUGGCUUAUUGGGUUGAGAGCCUCAGAGGCCUGAGCAGAGCACUCUCGCCCUAAGGCUUGGCCCCAGUCACCAUCCACCACCCUCCAGAGCUCCCUGUCUUAGAGGAUGGCUUUGUUUGAGGCCCUUUCUUUUCCAUCACUGAAGCCUCUUUCAGGACGAACAGACUGGACUGACUACUAGGCUUGGGAAGAAUGAGAGCAAAUGGAGUGGUGAAGAAGAGGAUCAAGAAAAAGGGAGGAAGGAGAAGGGGAAGAAAAAGCAUAAAGGGAAAAGGAAGUGGCAUAUUAAAUGGAAAGAGCUUUAACUUUUUAUUUAUUUAUUUAUUUUGUCAUUUUAGGGCCGCACUGGCAGCAUGUGGAGGGUCCCAGGCUAGGGGUCUAAUCGGAGCUAUAGCUGCCAGCUUAUGGCAGAACCACAGCAAUGCUGGAUCUGAGCCUCGUCUGUGACCUACACCCACAGCUCACAGCAAUGCCCGAUCCUUAACCCGCUGAGCGAGGCCAGGGAUCGAACCUGCAACCUCAUGGAUCCUAAUCAGAUUCAUUUUUGCUGCACCACCAUGGGAACUCCCCUAGAACUUUUUAAAGACUUGCCCACUCGUGGUCAAAGGGAAGCUACAUAUGUUCAUAUAAGGGAUCAUAAUGUACCCACGCUACCACCACCACCACAACCACAUUUUCUAGGGAUUAGGAAUACAGUCAUUUCCUUUAUACAUUAUAAUAGAAGGAUGAAGGGUCUAUAAAUUCUUCUCCUGUAACCAUAAAAAUAUCUUACUGUUUAACCUUGUGAUCUAGGUCCUUGAACCAAAAUUCUCCAGAAAACUCCUAUGCUGCAUGGUAAAUUGCAAAAUAAACUCACCUUCAGCUUUACAGUAACAAAGGAACUACUUGGACAGGGUUAAUGAAAGUAGAUAUUGUCAAGGAUGAAAUGUUUAUAGAAGCUUAAAGGUCUUAAUAACGUUCUAUAAAUCUUCUCAUUUAGUUGAAAGACUUCAAGCUUAAUACAUUUAGAUGCAAUCCUUAACCUUUUCCUAUUUCUCCUCUACUUUAAUACAAAACAAAACAAAAUACAAACCAACUACGAUGGCACAGAUAGUAUUGCCAUGAAUUCAGAAUGUCAGGAAAUUUUCAGUAGGCCCAGUCAUGACAAAAAUCAGGAAAUUUUCAAUAGGCCCAGUCAUGACAAAAUGUUUCACCAUUUUUUGAAAAGCUCCCUAAAGGAGUUCAGAGAUUUCUCUCCUGAAACACAGGGAGAUCGAUAUAUAUGAACUCCUAGAGAAUAAUUGUUGAAUGAGUGUCAGCAUUUUCCUAAGAACUCCUAAGAGUCCAAUCUUGACAUCAUAGCCAGAGAAUCAGGUAAGCCAACUAGCAAUUUACCAUUUUUCUACUGUUUCUUAGCUGAACAGUGUCAGGGUUGUCAUCCCAAAGUUUGGCUUCUUGCAGGAGUCAGAGACAUUUUACGUGGAAUAUAAUUGAUUAAACCUUGUCCCAAACCAUCCUUUUGAUCAGCUUAUGCUAGAUCAGACUGCACGUACUGUGCCACACCCCCAGGAACCUCUAUGGGCUGCUCUAGCAGGUGUGUUGAGCCCUCUCUAGUUAUCCCGCAGCUCACCUCUAGUUUCGGCCACUCUGAAGCAGUUCUCUGUUAGUCCAGACUCCUGCCUCAAUGGUCUUUUCCACAGUUUGCCCCAGGGCCUUUUCAAGUGCUGGGAGAGUUCAGUAAGUCUACAGUGGAAUGGGGAGCUAGAUUAGCAGCUUAAUUCUCUGUGGUGGCAGCUCUCAACCAAAGGAGGAACAGAUCUGGAAAAAAAAAAAGUUUCAGCCUCCAUUUCCCUUAGCUGGAUACUUCUGGAAGCAUUAUGUGUAAGUCUCAGCGGUUCCGAUGAAGUCACACUGCUAGUGGCCUCUUUGAUACACCCUUAUUAUUGUCAGUGCUCCUCCUUGACUCAUUCUCAUCACUCCUUCACUCCUGCCUUCUGAGGUCACUUUCCCAAUUACCAUGUGCACCUAAUUCCGAGUCUCAGACUCUUCUUCUUUGGAGGAAACCCAAAUGAGACAGGUAGUCUGAUUUUUUUGUUUGUUUUAAUCAGUCAGUUCACAGCAUCUUCUUCUCUACUGUAUACUACUCCCAUUGACUUUUUGCCCAUUUCAUAGCCUGAUUCCCAAAGCUAGAUAGAAGCCUACUUGCUCACAUCAAUAGAUUGUACUAUUUAGAGGAGAACCAUUGUUUAGUCAUCUGUAAUCUCCUAUAUCUAGCACUGCCCCAACACACAGUAGGUGCUCAAUUAAUAUUUGUUGGAUGAAUGAAUAAAUGCAUAAUCUACAAAAUGAUUUUUAUUUCCAGUAAUGUAAUAAAUACUGGUGUGUUUCAGUCAAGUAAGAUGUGUUACUAUAGAUAUGUUGCUGUUAAUACAUUUUUGAAGUAGGAAUUCCUGUCAUGGCUCAGUGAUUAACUAAUCUGACUAGGAAUCAUGAGGUUGUGGGUUCCAUCCCUGGCCCCCCCCAGUGGGCUAAGGAUCCAGCAUUGCCAUGAGCUGUGGUGUAGGUCACAGACGUGGCUUGGAUCCCGCAUUGCUGUGGCUGUGGCGUAGCCUGGUGGCUAUAGCUCCAACUAGACCCCUAGCCUGGAAACCUCCAUAUGCCACAGGUGUGGCC